rnacentral:misc_RNA from 1 species
CCUCAUUUACUUCAUAGCACAGGUUAUACGAGUAUUGUUUAAUUGUCUGUUGAAAAAAAUCAAUUCAUGUCAAGCACAAAACUACCAGCCAGAGAGAUUAUUUGGUUCAGGUGUUACUGAAAUUGCUAGUAUCAGAUCUUACAGCACACUAAUUAAUUGGUACUGGUACUUUUUUGAAAGUUUAUUGAAGAAAACCUGUUCUUGCAGUACUGAUUAACA